rnacentral:rRNA from 1 species
CGCUUCUUUUUCCACCGGAGCUUGCUCCACCGGAAAAAGAGGAGUGGCGAACGGGUGAGUAACACGUGGGUAACCUGCCCAUCAGAAGGGGAUAACACUUGGAAACAGGUGCUAAUACCGUAUAACAAUCGAAACCGCAUGGUUUUGAUUUGAAAGGCGCUUUCGGGUGUCGCUGAUGGAUGGACCCGCGGUGCAUUAGCUAGUUGGUGAGGUAACGGCUCACCAAGGCGACGAUGCAUAGCCGACCUGAGAGGGUGAUCGGCCACAUUGGGACUGAGACACGGCCCAAACUCCUACGGGAGGCAGCAGUAGGGAAUCUUCGGCAAUGGACGAAAGUCUGACCGAGCAACGCCGCGUGAGUGAAGAAGGUUUUCGGAUCGUAAAACUCUGUUGUUAGAGAAGAACAAGGAUGAGAGUAACUGUUCAUCCCUUGACGGUAUCUAACCAGAAAGCCACGGCUAACUACGUGCC